UGGAGUGGAAAGGGUCAGAGUAUCUUACCCAAAAUUUAAGAAAGGAGAGGCAAUUAUCCGAGAUGUAAGAAUCACACCAAACUUUGAUUAUGUAGAGGAAAUAUUCCAAACUUUCAUGAAAGCAAGCAAAGACAAUUUGAAGGAUGCUGCCACAAAGCAGCAAGAGAAGACCCCUGCCCCCAUGAAUACAAUGCUGGAGAAACAGCCAAGAGCAGAGGCUUUACAAAAGAGAGCUGAAAGGAGCAAGAUGGUUACUAAAGAUGUCCCUCCAACCACACCAGUUACUCAAAUCCCAGAAGGAAGAAAGAAG